rnacentral:rRNA from 1 species
UACGUAGGGGGCUAGCGUUGUCCGGAAUCAUUGGGCGUAAAGCGCGCGUAGGCGGCCCGGUAAGUCCGUUGUGAAAGUCAAAGGCUCAACCUUUGAAAGCCGAUGGAUACUGCCGGGCUGGAGUCCGGAAGAGGCGAGUGGAAUUCCUGGUGUAGCGGUGAAAUGCGCAGAUAUCUGGAGGAACACCGGUGGCGAAGGCGGCGAUCUGGCCCAACAUUGACACUGAGACCCGAAAGCGUGGGGAUCAAACAGG